AUUGAACGCUGGCGGCAUGCCUUACACAUGCAAGUCGAACGGCAGCACGGGAGCUUGCUCCUGGUGGCGAGUGGCGAACGGGUGAGUAAUACAUCGGAACGUACCCAGGAGUGGGGGAUAACGUAGCGAAAGUUACGCUAAUACCGCAUAUUCUGUGAGCAGGAAAGCGGGGGAUCGCAAGACCUCGCGCUCUUGGAGCGGCCGAUGUCGGAUUAGCUAGUUGGUGAGGUAAAAGCUCACCAAGGCGACGAUCCGUAGCAGGUCUGAGAGGAUGAUCUGCCACCCUGGGACUGAGACACGGCCCAGACUCCUACGGGAGGCAGCAGUGGGGAAUUUUGGACAAUGGGGGCAACCCUGAUCCAGCCAUGCCGCGUGAGUGAAGAAGGCCUUCGGGUUGUAAAGCUCUUUCGGCGGGGAAGAAAUGGCAACGGCUAAUAUCCGUUGUUGAUGACGGUACCCGCAUAAGAAGCACCGGCUAACUACGUGCCAGCAGCCGCAGUAAUAC
rnacentral:rRNA from 1 species